GACGAGAGACUAUAGCAAGAUCAGAUGUUGGCGAUGUGAUGAGUUGGACAUCAUUUCAGAGAUUGCUUUUAACUUAAGGAUCAAAUGAUGGCUACUAUGGCAGCGGCUAGUAGCGACACUGAAAUCGUUGAUGCGCUUAUGGACUCAGAUAAGAUAUCUACUCCUUUCCAGCAGUGGAUCUUAGACUCUGCUUGUUCUCAUCAUGUUUAUUGCAGAGAGAAGC
rnacentral:lncRNA from 1 species